rnacentral:rRNA from 1 species
GUGAAAUUGUUGAAAGGGAAGUGCUUGCAGCCAGACGUGCCCGUAGUUGCUCAUCGGGGGUUCUCCCCCGUGUACUCUUCUAUGGGCAGGCCAGCAUCAGUCCGGGCGGUUGGAGAAAGACCUGUGUCAUGUAGCUGUUUUCGGGCAGUGUUAUAGGGCAGGUGGAAUGCAACCAGCCUGGACUGAGGUCCGCGCAUCUGCUAGGAUGCUGGCGUAAUGGCUGUAAGCGGCCCGUCUUGAAACACGGACCAAGGAGUCUAACAUCUAUGCGAGUGUUUGGGUGUCAAGCCCGAGCGCGUAAUGAAAGUGAACGGAGGUGGGAACCUUUUAGGUGCACCAUCGACCGAUCCUGAUGUCUUCGGAUGGAUUUGAGUAAGAGCAUAGCUGUUGGGACCCGAAAGAUGGUGAACUAUGCCUGAAUAGGGUGAAGCCAGAGGAAACUCUGGUGGAGGCUCGCAGCGGUUCUGACGUGCAAAUCGAUCGUCAAAUUUGGGCAUAGGGGCGAAAGACUAAUCGAACUAUCUAGUAGCUGGUUCCUGCCGAAGUUUCCCUCAGGAUAGCAGUAACGUUUUCAGUUUUAUGAGGUAAAGCGAAUGAUUAGAGGCCUGGGGGUUGAAACAACCUUCACCUAUUCUCAAACUUUAAAUAUGUAAGAAGUCCUUGUUUCUUAAUUGAACGUGGACAUUUGAAUGUAUCGUUACUAGUGGGCCAUUUUUGGUAAGCAGAACUGGCGAUGCGGGAUGAACCGAACGCGGGGUUAAG